rnacentral:rRNA from 1 species
CCUUGACAUACUAAGAACUUUCCAGAGAUGGAUUGGUGCCUUCGGGAACUUAGAUACAGGUGCUGCAUGGCUGUCGUCAGCUCGUGUCGUGAGAUGUUGGGUUAAGUCCCGNAACGAGCGCAACCCUUUUCCUUAUUUGCCAGCGGGUCAUGCCGGGAACUUUUAAGGAUACUGCCAGUGACAAACUGGAGGAAGGCGGGGACGACGUCAAGUCAUCAUGGCCCUUACGGCCAGGGCUACACACGUGCUACAAUGGUCGGUACAAAGGGUUGCUACCUCGCGAGAGGAUGCUAAUCUCAAAAAGCCGAUCGUAGUCCGGAUCGCAGUCUGCAACUCGACUGCGUGAAGUCGGAAUCGCUAGUAAUCGCGGAUCAGAAUGCCGCGGUGAAUACGUUCCCGGGCCUUGUACACACCGCCCGUCACACCAUGGGAGUUUGUUGCACCAGAAGUAGGUAGUCUAACCGCAAGGAGGACGCUUACCACGGUGUGGCCGAUGACUGGGGCGAAGUCGUAACAAGGUAAGCGUAGAUGA